CAAAAUAUUUUUGGAGAUAUUUCCAUAUAAUUAUGUUAUAGAUGAUGAUGUUAAUUCUUCGUCGCUUAAAGCAAUAUUACUAUCUAUAUAGUUGAGGCUAAACUUAGUUAAGAUAAUCUCAAAAUAUAGAGAUUGUAACUGAGUUCGGACUGUAGAUAUCUCAACAACAACACUGAAAUAACCAGUUUUUUUUUACUUAUGUAACUAGUUCGUUUUAUAAUAUUUGAUAGUAUUAAGUAUUCAUAAUUCUACCAAACAAAAAAGUCAAUAACAUGCCACAAGUCAUUUUACCAAUGUUUUAUCUGCAUUCGGAUUUUCCAGCUAACAAUAUUCUGCAUUCAGGUUUCCUCUCAUCAUCUCAACGAGUAUAAUAAUAGAAUGUUUUAUUACCGAUAUCUUGUGGAUUACUAAAACAUCUGUCCCGGAAAAUUCACUCUUGAGAGGGUAGUAGAAAAAACUGCAAUAACAUGUAACAAAGGCGCGCCACCGGCCGAUAAUACUAUGAUUAAUACCCAGCGUUAUCUGCACCGUGCAGGCUCGGAACUACCCCCCUUUUCCCUUCCUACCAGCGUCUUACGAUCCCAACAAAAGCAUAUCAAAAUAAGCCUUAACAGGUUACGAAUAAAGUGUAUGGUUGUUUGGGUAGUGAUAAAGUUUAAGGUAUUCCGAAGGCGCUAUAAGAGUUACGGAUUUCGCAUAAUGCAUACUAUAUUCUAGAAGGGAGAGGGUGUCGAGACCGUGACCGCACGUCUCUCGCACGCGACCAACUAGAGAGUUUUUUUAUUGUUAUUACUUUACAGAAACUUGGGGAGGGAGUUUGAAUAUCGGUUUUAAAUCGAAUAAUAGGAGUAAUGGAGUGAUUGGAGUGAAGAGGACCCUAGCAAUAAAAUGAUUCACGCAUAACCUUGUGAAUAUAUUUUUAUUAUGAUGAAGCAAUUUAUGAACCUUUUUUACGACGUUUGAAUUUCGAAUAGAUUUUGGCUCGACUAAAUUACGGUACGGUAACUUUUUAUGUUUUUAGACUACGGUGUUUGGUUGGUCACUAGGCAUAUUUCUGCAAAUAUGUGUCUGACUACGUGAAAUUGCAAGUUAUGAGAAGGCACACUUCCACACCGAGGUCAAUGUUAAUUCACUGAAAAAUUUGUUUCUAGGGCAACACUUAUAAAAACUUAAAGGCUCAAAUUACUACUCUCGUGCCCUGUCCGGAAUCUGUUUUUGAGUAUAAUGAACAUUCCUACUAAAAACUGUACAUUAGUAUCACUUAUUGAAUGUUAAAUUCUUACGGCCCGAUUCGAAGAAUGAUUCAGACACGUAUAAGAUAUUGGAAAGAUCGAUAACUAAACGACAUGUCAAAAUUGACGUUCAUUUCGAUUCCGCGCUGUGAUCCCAAUUAUAUCUAUCUACGAUAUUUCUAACGACAAAGUGACAUUGGUUGCCCGAAUUGCUUCUGUCAAUUAUACGACAUACAUACAUACAAACGUUAUCUAAACCAAAACUUAUCGUUAUCGUCUCUCAUUCUUCGCAUCCGGCCGUUAAACGAGAUGAUAUUUACUGUCACUGAGCAUAUAAAACAUUAACUUGUCUGUGGUAAAUAACUCGUCAUCUAUGUAAACGUUUCAAAGCCAAUCACCGCCACACGCCUUGAAUCGUACUGUACUUCCCUUUUCUUGUUCUGUCAUAUGCUCAUAUGUCUUCUAAAGGAUAAUAUAGGUAGCAAUUUGACAAGUUACUGAAGUUUCUAGAAAUUUACGACAGAACUAUAAAAACGGGUAAGGCGACACUUUUUAUCUCAUUUAACAUUAUUUAUUUAUUUUUUAUUUUUAGCUAAUUUUUUUUAAAGUACUAACCAUAUAUUUGAAUACGUAGGUAUAAUUAAUUUUCACACUAUUUUUAAUUGUAAUGGAUUUUUAUUAUUUUGUUUUUUGUAAUUAUAUAAUUUUGACAUUACCGGUGGGGUAAUGUUCAAUAUAAAUUGUAUUUGCAUGCAUAUGCUAUGUUUUUAUCUACAAAUAAACGAUUGAUUGAUAAAAUCCUUCGGGCACGGAACAUUUAUUUAGUAAAUGUGACUUAAUUUACGGCGUUAUUCAUUAGAAGGGAAUGACUUUAAAUUAUAAGUGCUUAGUAUGCUCAGCGUUCUCGUAAUAAGUCAAUACGUUGACAAACAUCUCAUCACAGUUCUACAUCCAACUUACCGUCUCUCUCAACUUAUGAAUGUUGCUGAAACAUAAUUACGGCAUUUCACAAGCCAUUGCUUCAGCAAACCUAUUACUGGCACGAUAAACAUCGAUAAUGCGAGCCUUCGGCCGCAGGUGCUAUCAAUUAAUAACCCCCAAAUAUCAUUAGACUGCAGCAGGACUUGUGGGGAAGGGGGGGAAUAAUUGCUCCUCCCCUGGUUGUCAUGUGCACUCCCGUUAUGUAGAUGUGUGUGAUAUUAAUGCUCUAGCGAGGCGUACGGAUACGAGCUUUAAUGAUUCUAAGAGUAGCUCCUUAAAUCCUGUAAAUACCUUUGGAUAUUUGUUAUCUUUACCUUUUUUGUUCACAGAUAUUUUGUCUGAUGACGCCAUUCAAAACCUAUGGAUUAUGGUCGAGGUAGGUCUUUAUAAAUAAGUGCCUGGUUAAGUUAUAGAUAUUACAACAAAUUUGAAUUUUUAAAAAUGAUAGAUUGAAGUACUCAUAAAUAUAAAAUAUAUUUGGAAAUAAUGUCAAAAGUGAUUAAUGAUUAACUAUAUUGGUUGGAUACAGAUCUGUACGAGAGUGGAGUGUGCAGAUUCGCUAUCACAGAAAGGAGAGACGAAUAAAACAAAUUUUCGGUUUUCAAUCUCGUUCGUAGCAGCUACAUCGUAGCAUUGCUACGCGCUACGCGGCUACGAGGCAGGGCAGCUCAACCGAGAUCAAAGUCGGCUAACCAGCCAGGCCUGCGCUGGUAACGGCCUAUCCGUCAUAACGCGCAAUCCCAGUAACGCCGUGUUCCGUUCCUUGCGACGAUCGCAUCAGCAGUAAACGCGGCCCGAUUAAGCCCAUGAUAUCGGAACGAAAUAGGCUCAGGAGGUACGAAGAUUUUUGAGCUAUUUUGUGGUUUUAGAGGUCUACAAAGAUUUUUUCCUAUGAAAUAAGAGAUACCUAGCUAUUUUCUGCAUGCUAAUUAAAUCGAUUGAAAUGAGUAGAUAUUAAAGUAAACUAUCACAUUUCCAUUUCAUUAAUCAUUUCGUGAUAACCCUGCUUAGUUUGUAAUAGUUUUUACUAACUUUAUUGAUAACGUAUUUAGUCUAAAUUAAUGCAUAUUUUUCCCUGUAACUUUCCUAUUUUCGGUCCAAAGCAAAUCACAUCGCGGGCGAGGUAAACCUUGUUAUUCCCAUUACAACUCAUCCAAUAUUUCAACGAUCGGCAACUUUCUGACAUGCAUGUCCUAAGACAAAGUGUGUUAUUUCUCGGGGGAACGCGGGGCCGGGAGUGCCAGGAGGCGGAGGGGAUAGUAAUAUUUUUACGAGCGAUUUUAUUGUGCGCACUAUAAAUUUGUCAUCGCUGCAUUCGCUUCACGAAGAUUGCUAUUAGCGCACAGAGAUUAUAAUAACUAAGUAUCAAAACAAGAUGUUUAUUUAGUAGCUACUUUCUUUCCAUAACUACUAACUUCAUCGAGUACUGUCGUUUCCAGUCUCUAAUACUUUAAUACGUUAAAUACCUACAAACUCUUUGCUUUCAAUGCAGACGUGUAAGGUGUCAUAAAUAGGUUGGUAUAACGCAAUCUAAUGGCUAACCAGUUCUAUACCGGUAUUCCCCCAAUUAUGGCAUUUCAUGUUAUUUGUAGUUUGGCCGUAGUUUGGGGCGCGUGAUUAUGGGCCACUUAACCGAAAUGUUCCCACAGCGGCGCGGGCGCAGCUUCAUACAGAGAUGGGCAACCAAAAUAUGUUAUUUUUAUGUAUCUGUUAUUUUCACGGUAGAUGACGUGUCAGUGGUUUGGUAUAUUUUGGUAACAUAUUUAAUUACUAACUGUUUAAUUAUAGCAAAUUAGGAGCAUUAAAAUGAUCCUAAUAAUCCUGCCUGCAGUUUUGUACAUUUACCACAUAUUUAUCUGAUUACAGUGUGUUAGUAAUAUGGCAUGUUUUGAUAUGUAGUAUAUUUCUACUAGCACUUAGUAUUAUUUAUUUCGUUUUACUUUACUUGUGUCUUACUUUAAAAUGGAUUAGGAUUAUUUAAUUACAGCCUAAUUAGUGAAUAUGAAAUGCGGCUAUUAGAGAUGCUUGCCUUGGAAAGGCACUGCUGUUACUUUCCGUUAUAUUUUUGUAAAAUUAUAUUCUAUAAUAUUAACAUAUAGAGAGGAAAAUGGGGACUACGCUUCUAUGGAGAAUAUCCUCUUAAUAUUAAUGUGACAAUCAGUACGAAAACUUCACCAUUAUCGACUGAUACAAUAUACAUCCUAUAUGCAUUUGUAUUAUAAGAGAUAAAAGUUUCAAAUUAAUAUCAAAAAGAAAAUGUUGGUAGCCCCUGGCCACCUCAGCGUUUAGCAGAGUGGCGACGACAUGAUGACGCGGCGCUUCACACACCUCUCCUCGUGUUCCAGGUUGCUCGUGACCGCCUCCCGCCACCUACUGACUGCCGGCUCUACUCACGCCUACUAACGGUUCUCAGUAGUUCUAC